rnacentral:rRNA from 1 species
UAGCGUAGGGGGCAAGCGUUGUCCGGAUUUAUUGGGCGUAAAGAGCGUGUAGGCGGCCUGAAAGGUCAGCUGUGAAAACUCGAGGCUCAACCUCGAGACGUCGGUUGAAACCAUCUGGCUAGAGUCCGGAAGAGGGAGAGUGGAAUUCCCGGGUGUAGCGGUGAAAUGCGCAGAUAUCGGGAAGAACACCCCGUGGCGAAGGCGGCUCUCUGGGACGGUACUGACGCUGAGACGCGAAAGCGGUGGGGAGCGAACGAGG